rnacentral:lncRNA from 1 species
AGAGCAGGUAGUCAGCCAAGGCUUCAUAGUUCUCACCCACGGCAAUUCAGCUAGCAAACUAGAGACACUUCCCCAAGAAGACACAGCGUGGCAAGACUGCUGAGACGCAUAAAGAAAUCUUAGCUGGAAUGCCUUCUCAGAAUCUUGAUUUUCAAAGUGAUGGAUUGGGAGAUCCCAAGCCAUGAAUAAAGGGUGCUCAUCACAGAUGGAACAAUGGCGAGAGCACACCUGGACAGGGGAGGGGCAGGAGUUCUGAUUCCUGACACAGGUUUCCUGGUUGAAUGUUCUGUUGUAGAAGAAUGCAACUGAGUUUUCUAAACAGAUCUUCUUCUUGACAUCCUUGCUGAACGAGAGCAAAGGAGACAGCUGGGAGCAGAUGGGCAAAUCCCAGUUUGCCCAAAGAAAUGUCUAUUUUCCAAGGGGCAUGAAGAAUUUAGGAAUAAAGCAGAUCUGAUUUCUAAUUCUGACUUUGCUACUGGCAAAUUGUGUGGACUCAGGAAAGUGACCGGCCCUCUUUAAGACUCAGUGUGCUUACCUCUGAAAUGGAGCUGUCAAUCACAUCUGCCUCACAGGCUUGUUCUGAGGAUGAAGUGAGAAAAUGCCCACGAGGUGCUGGUUGCAGCAGCUGGUGCAUAGAGCUUAAAAAGGAUGCAGUCCCAAA